rnacentral:misc_RNA from 1 species
ACGGAUGAAGGCGAUUACCAGAUCAAAUUGCGUAAACUUAAAGAGUUUCUGGAAGAGGGCGAUAAGGUUAAAGUCACCCUGCGCUUCAAAGGCCGUGAAAUGGCUCACAAAGAGCUGGGGAUGGAUGUUCUCAAGCGUGUUGAGAAAGAGCUGGAAGAACUGGCGGUUGUCGAGCAAUUCCCGCGUCUGGAAGGCCGUCAAAUGGUCAUGAUGUUGGGCGCGAAGAAAAAAGCCUAAGCAUAAAAAUUGGGGGUAUUCCCCAACACCAUCCUGUUAAGGCAAGGCACUCUUGCAGGAUGUUUUAUCUACCUGAUCGAAAAGGAGACCAAGAUGCCUA